GCUACAACAAUCAUAGGUAUUCUCUUCUUCUCUUCACCUCUUUUGUGUGACUUAUUUGUAUGACAUUUUUUUGGUCUAAUUUUUUAUACAUUUCUAUCAUAAUUGAAUACCCUGAUUCGAGUGUUUGCAACGUGUAUAACCUUAAUACAUGGUUUCUAAUUUUGAUUAUAAUUGUUUUCAUUGUUUAUUGCAGAUUCAUGAUCCAGUAAAAAGAUAAGAAUGGUAUACCAUCUAUAUAUGUGAUUGAUCUGUGGUUUUUAUUUAUUUAUUUGGUCAAGAUCUAUGGUUUUUAUUUUAUAUUGGUAUUUCUAGACAUCUAUAUCUUUUUUUUUUUACAAUAGACAUCUAUAUCUUACAUGUUAAGAAGAUGAAAUAAUUACAUGUAGUAGACAUCUAUAUUAAUUGACCUCUCUGUUGUUGAGAAGAUAAAAUAUUAUAUUUAUCUUACAUGUUUAUUGAACCUCUCUAUUGUUAUGAAAUAAAAAUUUGGAACUCUCUAUUUUUUUAAUUCUUUUUAUAUGUAUUUUUUCAUCUCUCAUUCUUUAUUCUUUUGGUU
rnacentral:lncRNA from 1 species